rnacentral:rRNA from 1 species
UACGAAGGGGGCGAGCGUUGUUCGGAUUUACUGGGCGUAAAGGGCGCGCAGGCGGCUCAUUUUGUCAGGCGUGAAAGCCCCGGGCUUAGCCCUGGGACUGCGUUUGAUACGGAUGGGCUAGAGUUCGGGGAGAGGGAGAGUGGAAAUUCCCAGUGUAGAGGUGAAAAUUCGUAGAUAUUGGGAAGAACACCGGUGGCGAAGGCGGCUCUCUGGCCCGGUACUGACGCUGAGGUGCGAAAAGCGUGGGGGAGCAAACAGGG